GUUAAGCGACUAAGCGUACACGGUGGAUGCCCUGGCAGUCAGAGGCGAUGAAGGACGUGCUAAUCUGCGAUAAGCGUCGGUAAGGUGAUAUGAACCGUUAUAACCGGCGAUUUCCGAAUGGGGAAACCCAGUGUGUUUCGACACACUAUCAUUAACUGAAUCCAUAGGUUAAUGAGGCGAACCGGGGGAACUGAAACAUCUAAGUACCCCGAGGAAAAGAAAUCAACCGAGAUUCCCCCAGUAGCGGCGAGCGAACGGGGAGCAGCCCAGAGCCUGAAUCAGUGUGUGUGUUAGUGGAAGCGUCUGGAAAGGCGCGCGAUACAGGGUGACAGCCCCGUACACAAAAAUGCACAUGCUGUGAGCUCGAUGAGUAGGGCGGGACACGUGGUAUCCUGUCUGAAUAUGGGGGGACCAUCCUCCAAGGCUAAAUACUCCUGACUGACCGAUAGUGAACCAGUACCGUGAGGGAAAGGCGAAAAGAACCCCGGCGAGGGGAGUGAAAAAGAACCUGAAACCGUGUACGUACAAGCAGUGGGAGCACGCUUAGGCGUGUGACUGCGUACCUUUUGUAUAAUGGGUCAGCGACUUAUAUUCUGUAGCAAGGUUAACCGAAUAGGGGAGCCGAAGGGAAACCGAGUCUUAACUGGGCGUUAAGUUGCAGGGUAUAGACCCGAAACCCGGUGAUCUAGCCAUGGGCAGGUUGAAGGUUGGGUAACACUAACUGGAGGACCGAACCGACUAAUGUUGAAAAAUUAGCGGAUGACUUGUGGCUGGGGGUGAAAGGCCAAUCAAACCGGGAGAUAGCUGGUUCUCCCCGAAAGCUAUUUAGGUAGCGCCUCGUGAAUUCAUCUCCGGGGGUAGAGCACUGUUUCGGCAAGGGGGUCAUCCCGACUUACCAACCCGAUGCAAACUGCGAAUACCGGAGAAUGUUAUCACGGGAGACACACGGCGGGUGCUAACGUCCGUCGUGAAGAGGGAAACAACCCAGACCGCCAGCUAAGGUCCCAAAGUCAUGGUUAAGUGGGAAACGAUGUGGGAAGGCCCAGACAGCCAGGAUGUUGGCUUAGAAGCAGCCAUCAUUUAAAGAAAGCGUAAUAGCUCACUGGUCGAGUCGGCCUGCGCGGAAGAUGUAACGGGGCUAAACCAUGCACCGAAGCUGCGGCAGCGACGCUGAUGCGUUGUUGGGUAGGGGAGCGUUCUGUAAGCCUGCGAAGGUGUGCUGUGAGGCAUGCUGGAGGUAUCAGAAGUGCGAAUGCUGACAUAAGUAACGAUAAAGCGGGUGAAAAGCCCGCUCGCCGGAAGACCAAGGGUUCCUGUCCAACGUUAAUCGGGGCAGGGUGAGUCGACCCCUAAGGCGAGGCCGAAAGGCGUAGUCGAUGGGAAACAGGUUAAUAUUCCUGUACUUGGUGUUACUGCGAAGGGGGGACGGAGAAGGCUAUGUUGGCCGGGCGACGGUUGUCCCGGUUUAAGCGUGUAGGCUGGUUUUCCAGGCAAAUCCGGAAAAUCAAGGCUGAGGCGUGAUGACGAGGCACUACGGUGCUGAAGCAACAAAUGCCCUGCUUCCAGGAAAAGCCUCUAAGCAUCAGGUAACAUCAAAUCGUACCCCAAACCGACACAGGUGGUCAGGUAGAGAAUACCAAGGCGCUUGAGAGAACUCGGGUGAAGGAACUAGGCAAAAUGGUGCCGUAACUUCGGGAGAAGGCACGCUGAUAUGUAGGUGAAGUCCCUUGCGGAUGGAGCUGAAAUCAGUCGAAGAUACCAGCUGGCUGCAACUGUUUAUUAAAAACACAGCACUGUGCAAACACGAAAGUGGACGUAUACGGUGUGACGCCUGCCCGGUGC
rnacentral:rRNA from 1 species